UGGCUUAGUGGUAGAGCGCUUGCCUAACAUGCAUGAGGCCCUGGGUUCAAUUCCUCAG
rnacentral:tRNA from 1 species